rnacentral:rRNA from 1 species
UCCGGUUGAUCCUGCCAGAGGUUACCGCUCUCGAGAUUCGACUAAGCCAUGCGAGUUGAGUGUUCUUCGGAACAUGGCGGACUGCUCAGUAAUACGUGGACAACCUACCCUUGGGUCCGGCAUAAUCCUGGGAAACUGGGAAUAAUUCCGGAUAAGUCACCGAUGCUGGAAUGCGCGGUGGCCGAAAGCUCCGGCCCCCCAAGAAGGGUCUGCGGCCUAUCAAGUCGUCCUGGGUGUAACGUACCUACUAGCCUACCACGGGUACGGGUUGUGAGAGCAAGAGCCCGGAGAUGGAUUCUGAUACACGAAUCCAGGCCCUUCGGGGUGCAUCUUGCGCGAAAACUUUACAAUGCGGGAAACCGUGAUAAGGGAAUCUCGAGUGCCAUCAUAUAAUGUUGGUUGUCCUGAUGCCUAAAAAGCAUUGUUACCAAGGGCCGGGAAAGACCGGUGCCCGCCCCCGCGGUAUCACCGGCGGCCCGAGUGGCAACCGCUAUUAUUGGGUCUAACGGGUCUGUAGCCGGCCAGGUAAGUCCCUUGACAAAUCUGGCAGCUCAUCUGUCUGGCUGCUAGGGGAUACUGUUUGUUUUGUGACCUGUAGAGGUGAGAGGUACCUUGGAGGUAGGGGUGAAAUCUUGUGAUCCUCGAGGGACCACCAGUGGGGAAGGCGUCUCACCAGAACGGGUCCGACGGUAAGGGACGAAAGCUAGAGGCACGAACCGGAUUAGAUACCCGGGUAGUCCUAGCCGUAAACGAUGCUCGCUAGGUGUCAGUCACGGUGCGACCGUGAUUGGUGCCGUAGGGAAGCCGUGAAGCGAGCCACCUGGGAAGUAUGGCCGCAAGGCUGAAACUUAAAAGAAUUGGCGGGGGAGCACUACAACGGGAGGAGCCUGCGGUUUAAUUGGAUUCAACGCCGGAAAUCUCGCCGGGGGCGACAGCGAUAUGAAGGUCAGGCUGAAGACUUUGCCGGAUUAGCUGAGAGGUGGUGCAUGGCCGUCGUCAGUUCGUACUGUGAAGCAUCUUGUUAAGUCAGGCAACGAGCGAGACCCACAUCCACAGUUGCCAGCAUAUUCUCCGGAAUGAUGGGUACAAUGUGGAGACCGCCGCUGCUAAAGCGGAGGAAGGAGUGGGCAACGGUAGGUCAGUAUGCCCUGAAUCUCCCGGGCUACACGCGGGCUACAAUGGUUGGUACAAUGGGCAUCUACCCCGAAAGGGGAAGGAAAUCUGUUAAAACCAAUCGUAGUUGGGAUGGAGGGCUGCAACUCGCCCUCAUGAAGCUGGAAUCCGUAGUAAUCGCGUUUCAACAGAACGCGGUGAAUACGUCCCUGCUCAGUGCACACACUGCCCGUCAAACCACCCAGAUAGGGUCUGGAUGAGGGUGUAUUUUAUUGACACAUUCGAAUCUGGUCUUUGCAAGGGGGGUU